rnacentral:tRNA from 1 species
GCCCGGGGCGGUUCGGCCAACGCCCCGUGCGGGAGGGCUGAGUCGAAGGGGAUAAGAGUGGCGUGGUUCGGAUCCAUCCCGGGUC